rnacentral:rRNA from 1 species
UACGUAGGGGGCAAGCGUUGUCCGGAAUCAUUGGGCGUAAAGAGCGUGUAGGCGGCCCGGUAAGUCCGCUGUGAAAGUCGGGGGCUCAACCCUCGAAUGCCGGUGGAUACUGUCGGGCUAGAGUGCGGAAGAGGCGAGUGGAAUUCCUGGUGUAGCGGUGAAAUGCGUAGAUAUCUGGAGGAACACCGGUGGCGAAGGCGGCGUCCUGGACCAACACUGACACUGAGGAGCGAAAGCCAGGGGAGCAAACGGG